UACCAGCUCUCCGAGUGGUGUGGAUGUUUAUUGGGCCUAAAGCAUCCGUAGCUGGCUGGACAAGUCCCCUGUUAAAUCCACCGAUUUAAUCGUUGGUGUGCGGGGGAUACUGUUCGGCUAGGGGACGGGAGAGGCAGACGGUAUUUUCGGGGUAGGGGUGAAAUCCUAUAAUCCCGGGAAGACCACCAGUGGCGAAGGCUGUCUGCUAGAACGCGCCCGACGGUGAGGGAUGAAAGCUGGGGGAGCGAACCGGAUUAGAUACCCGGGUAGUCCCAGCUGUAAACGAUGCAGGCUAGGUGUUUGGACGGCCACGUGCCGUUCUAGCGCCGCAGGGAAGCCGUUAAGCCUGCCGCCUGGGGAGUACGGCCGCAAGGCUGAAACUUAAAGGAAUUGGCGGGGGAGCACCACGAAGGGGUGAAGCUUGCGGUUU
rnacentral:rRNA from 1 species